UUCUCUGCAGCAGCCAAUUCGUGAGUAGUCUCUCCAUUCAUCUCAUCUCUAUUUCUAUGUAUGUAAAAUAUUCAUCUCAAUCAAAUUCUACAAUUCUAGAUUUGUGUUAUCUGUGUUCCGAUUCAUCUCGAGUAUGCUCAUUGCCUCAUUCUUCCUCGCCUUCAAGCCAAACGCAAACGAGACACUUCAACUGCUCCAAUCCAUGUUUGACGUGCUUCCACACGAUAUCACAAUCGAAUGAAACGGUCGAGAUUGCGUCUUCAUCCGGCGGCUAGAGCUGGAUCAAUUGUUUCGUUAAAUCUGUUUUGUGGAUGUUCGAGUGAGUUGCGGAACUACCCGAUGGGUUACGUGAUGGGAGAGAGUGAUAGUAUUGAAUCUUUAGCAAUUAGAUUUGGGGUUAGUAUUGAAUCUGUUAAUGAAAUUGUUAAUUCUGAUUUCUGAUAAUGUUACUGUUGAAUUCCUUUAAAUUCAGGUACGUAUCAAUAUCAUCAUCUUUUUGAUUUCUUAAUCUAUUAUUGCUUGAUUGAAACAGAGUUUAAUGUUUUUAACCUUUUUUUGUUCAAAUGUUUGCAGUUCCUUUUAAACUUGUACCUGCAUAACUCUAGUUGUUUGAUUUCUUAACUCGGUCACACAUUUCAAGCUAAAAUAAUCAUUGUGUUGAACUUAUGGUUCUGUAAUAUGCAGUCUGGGAAACUUAUUAUUGAAGAUGAUGAUGACAAGGAUGACGAUGAUGAGGAUGAUGAUGACAAAGAUGAAGAUGACGUUGAAGAUAAAUUGUACAGAUUGAUUCAAAUUCCGGUCUCUAUUGUUCAAAUACACAUUUGUUUAAGACUGAGCUCUCUAGGGUUCUAUAUGAAAUCAAUAUUGAUGUUAAUUAGCUUUCAUGCUAUCAUAUUCUGUGAACUGUGUUUGAGAGAUGUCAGACAUUCAAAAGAAAUGAUUUCCUCACAAAAUUUAAAGAAUACUCAAUUAACUAAUUUGUUUUUCAAGUACAUGUAAUGAAGAAGAUUAUGUUUGACUAAAUGUGACAACAUUUUGAGAAGAUGGCAGGUCAAGUUGAUGCAACUAGCAGAUUAAAGCAAAGCAGAAGCGAGAAAAAGAGCAGGAAGGCAAUGCUUAAGCUUGGAAUGAAGUUCAUUCCUGGUGUCAGCAGAGUAACUGUGAAGAAGAGCAAAAAAACAGAUUUGGAGUUCUAAACUGCAACCCAUCAUCCAAAGAGUUCUUUCUGUUCAUUUUUUUGGAUCAUGUGGGUAAAGAGAUUAUGUAAAAAGAUAUAUGCCUGUCAUGGGGUUGCUGUUUCUUCAUUUAUUACCUGAUGAGUGUUGUGCAGCUCUUGAAAUAGAAGAUAAUACUACUAAAGAGAAGAGAGGAGGCUGAAAGUGAAAGCAAUCAUAAAAAUCUGUAAUUUUUCUUCUUCUUCUUCUUAUUAAUUUUUGAAUAAUAAUAAUAAUAAGAGAGAAGGAGAAGAAGAAGUUGUUGUCUGUUUCCUGAUUCUUGAAUGGAUCUGGUUGGUUGGUUAAGUAGUGAGCAAUGGUGACUGGAAAAUGGUAUAAGAAGAGGAGCUGUGUUUAAUGGGAGAAAUCAGG